rnacentral:rRNA from 1 species
AUUGAACGCUGGCGGCAUGCUUUACACAUGCAAGUCGAACGGUAACGGGCCUUCGGGUGCUGACGAGUGGCGAACGGGUGAGUAAUGUAUCGGAACGUGCCCAGAGGUGGGGGAUAACGCAGCGAAAGCUGUGCUAAUACCGCAUGUGAUCUGAGGAUGAAAGCGGGGGACCAAGCAGCAAUGUUUGGCCUCGCGCCUCUGGAGCGGCCGAUGUCAGAUUAGGUAGUUGGUGGGGUAAAGGCCUACCAAGCCGACGAUCUGUAGCUGGUCUGAGAGGACGACCAGCCACACUGGGACUGAGACACGGCCCAGACUCCUACGGGAGGCAGCAGUGGGGAAUUUUGGACAAUGGGCGCAAGCCUGAUCCAGCAAUGCCGCGUGCGGGAAGAAGGCCUUCGGGUUGUAAACCGCUUUUGUACGGAACGAAAAGGCUCUGGCUAAUACCUGGGGCUGAUGACGGUACCGUAAGAAUAAGCACCGGCUAACUACGUG